CCAAUAGCGUAUAUUAAAGUUGUUGCAGUUAAAAAGCUCGUAGUUGAAUUUCGGGAUCAAGGAAUCGGUCAUGCCUUGGUAUGUACUGGUUUUAUUGGUUCUCACCUUCUAAAGAACCAUAAUGUCAUUCAUUUGAUGUUAUGGGGAAUUAGGACUGUUACCUUGAAAAAAUUAGAGUGUUUAAAGCAGGCUUACGCUUGAAUACAUUAGCAUGGCAUAAUGAAAUAGGACAUCAGAUUCUAUUUUGUUGGUUUCUAGGAUCGAUGUAAUGAUUAAUAGGGAUAGUUGGGGGCAUUAGUAUUCAAUUGUCAGAGGUGAAAUUCUUGGAUUUAUUGAAGACUAACUACUGCGAAAGCAUUUGCCAAGGAUGUUUUCAUUAAUCAAGAACGAAAGUUAGGGGAUCGAAGACGAUCAGAUACCGUCGUAGUCUUAACCAUAAACUAUGCCGACUAGGGAUCGGAUGAUGUUAAUUUUAUAAUGACUCAUUCGGCACCUUACG
rnacentral:rRNA from 1 species